AGUGAACGCUGGCGGUAGGCCUAACACAUGCAAGUCGAACGGCAGCACAGUAGGAGCUUGCUCCUCUGACGUUAGCGGCGGACGGGUGAGUAACACGUGGAUAACCUACCUAUAAGACUGGGAUAACCUCGGGAAACCGGAGCUAAUACCGGAUAAUAUAUUGAACCGCAUGGUUCAAUAGUGAAAGACGGUUUUGCUGUCACUUAUAGAUGGAUCCGCGCCGCAUUAGCUAGUUGGUAAGGUAACGGCUUACCAAGGCAACGAUGCGUAGCCGACCUGAGAGGGUGAUCGGCCACACUGGAACUGAGACACGGUCCAGACUCCUACGGGAGGCAGCAGUAGGGAAUCUUCCGCAAUGGGCGAAAGCCUGACGGAGCAACGCCGCGUGAGUGAUGAAGGUCUUCGGAUCGUAAAACUCUGUUAUUAGGGAAGAACAAAUGUGUAAGUAACUAUGCACGUCUUGACGGUACCUAAUCAGAAAGCCACGGCUAACUACGUG
rnacentral:rRNA from 1 species